rnacentral:rRNA from 1 species
GAUGAACGCUAGCGGCAGGCUUAAUACAUGCAAGUCGUGGGGCAGCAGGACUGUAGCAAUACAGUUGCUGGCGACCGGCAAACGGGUGCGGAACACGUACGCAACUUACCCUGAACUGGGGGAUAGCCCGGGGAAACCCGGAUUAAUACCCCGUAAUAUAAUGGAGUGGCAUCACUUUAUUAUUAAAGCUCCGGCGGUUCGGGAUGGGCGUGCGGCUGAUUAGGUAGUUGGUUGAGGUAACGGCUCACCAAGCCUACGAUCAGUAACUGGUGUGAGAGCACGACCAGUCACACGGGCACUGAGACACGGGCCCGACUCCUACGGGAGGCAGCAGUAAGGAAUAGUGGGCAAUGGAGGCAACUCUGACCCAGCCAUGCCGCGUGGAGUAUGAAGGCCCUCUGGGUUGUAAACUUCUUUUAUAGGUGACGAAACCUGUGUAUUCUUACGCAGUUGACGGUACCCUAGGAAUAAGCACCGGCUAACUCCGUG